CUCAUUUCAGCAUCACAUAUACUAAAAUUGGAAUGAUACAUAGAUUGGAAUGGACCUUGUGAAGAGAUGACAUGAAAAUUCAUGAAGCAUUCCAUAUUUUU
rnacentral:snRNA from 1 species